GACCAGACUCCUACGGGAGGCAGCAGUGAGGAAUAUUGGUCAAUGGGCGGGAGCCUGAACCAGCCAAGUCGCGUGAGGGAAGACGGUCCUAUGGAUUGUAAACCUCUUUAGGCGGGGAGCAAUGCCGGGCACGCGUGCCCGGAGGGAGAGUACCCGCAGAAUAAGCAUCGGCUAACUCCGUGCCAGCAGCCGCGGUAAUACGGAGGAUGCGAGCGUUAUCCGGAUUUAUUGGGUUUAAAGGGUGCGUAGGCGGAAGGUUAAGUCAGCGGUCAAAUGUCGGUGCUCAACACCGGCCUGCCGUUGAAACUGGUCUUCUUGAGUGAGCGAGAAGUAUGCGGAAUGCGUGGUGUAGCGGUGAAAUGCAUAGAUAUCACGCAGAACUCCGAUUGCGAAGGCAGCAUACCGGCGCUCAACUGACGCUGAGGCACGAAAGCGUGGGGAUCGAACAGGAUUAGAUACCCGUGUA
rnacentral:rRNA from 1 species